rnacentral:rRNA from 1 species
UACGGGGGGAGCAAGCGUUGUUCGGAUUUACUGGGCGUAAAGGGCGCGUAGGCGGUCGUGACAAGUCACUUGUGAAAUCUCCGGGCUUAACUCGGAACGGUCAAGUGAUACUGUCGGACUAGAGUACAGAAGGGGCAACUGGAAUUCUCGGUGUAGCGGUGAAAUGCGUAGAUAUCAGGAGGAACACCGAUGGCGAAGGCAGGUCUCUGGGCAUUAACUGACGCUGAGGAGCGAAAGCAAGGGGAGCGAACAGG